rnacentral:misc_RNA from 1 species
UGGCUCUCGCAUCGAUGAAGAACGCAGCGAAAUGCGAUAAGUAAUGUGAAUUGCAGAAUUCAGUGAAUCAUCGAAUCUUUGAACGCACCUUGCGCUCCUUGGUAUUCCGAGGAGCAUGCCUGUUUGAGUGUCUUGAAGUCAUCAACCCCCCACGUCUUCUUGGACGUGGUGCGCGUUGGACGUUGGGGGCUUGCGGCCGUGAGGCUGCUCCCCUCAAAUCUGUUGGUUGGGCCUGUGGGUCGAACUCGACUGGGCGUUGUACCAUCCUCGCUCCGAACGAGAUGUUCCCUCCUUUGUGUGAGCGCAACCCUGGACCUGCCUCUUCCGAGUGGGGGGGCGGUCAAGGAGCAAAUGCUCUUUUCUUGAAACUCUGACCUCAAAUCAGGUAGGACUACCCGCUGA